rnacentral:pre_miRNA from 14 species
AGUUAAUGACAGGACAAAGACAGGGAACAUGCAGAGCAUGGAUGAAACUAUCGACAGUGAAGGAAACUGUUGUGGCUCCACUCAUGCACUGCCUCUUCCCUGGCUUAUAAUCUGUUUUUAUUA